rnacentral:ncRNA from 1 species
CUUGGUUUUGAAAAAUUAAAAAGGAAGUUGAAUGAGAUUUUCACACAGGACCGCUACUGUAAUUAGGGAAUACUAAUUUAAUUAAUCCACUGAAGUGAAUUUGGGAAGGAAAAUUAGUAUAAUGAUCUAUAAGUCAGGAGACUUGCCAAGAUUCUA